rnacentral:lncRNA from 1 species
GUCAUGUUGAAUAAACAUCAUUCCUUAAUGUCUGUUAAGGAAUGUUAUAUGUCCAAAUUAUACUCAAUGUAUGUUGGAAAUAGCUACCAAAGUAAUUUCCUCUGUUCUUUAAGCUUCUUCAUCUUUAUUGGCUCACAAGGUCCUUUAAUAAUUUUUAUAUCUGGAUGUUAGGGCUCAUGGGGUUCUCUGAGGUACUGAUUAUGAAUGUUUCAAUCCUUUUGAUGCCACUUCCCAUUGGAAGCUGUAAGCUUGUAUAUAACCAAUGCUUUCCAAUCAUCUGCAUCUACAUUUCUUUAUACCCUACCCACACACACCCAAGCAGUUUUAUUUCUAAUCCAUUUGUCAAAUGACCCAAAACCUUCAACAAGCAAAGAGGCAAAAAUCUCUCCUUGGCUUAUAAAUACAGAAUGUUCAUGCACACUAAGGCCUUUAAACACACAGUUCAUCCUUAGGAAAAGUGAAGAUAUACAAUGCUUUGAUUGAUAGAUUUUUACAUCUCCUAGUAUUUCAUUCUGGAGUAAACCAUGAUGUAUCUAUGAGACUACAUCCUGACAUUAUUCAGAUGCAUAGUACAUAGUAACUCCCUUUCCUCCAUCUUUUUAUUCAUAGUGACUGAAGAAGUUUAUUUUGAUGAUUCAACUUCACUGUCUCCUGAAAAGCAGACAGGAAGAUGCCUCCUUCCCCACUCUACACAUCAAAGAACAGAGAUUAGAUUGCAAUUUCUCUUGUACUAAUCACUACUUGUAUAGUAGUUCUCCUAAUUCAAAGCUCAGUCUGCUGAAACAAAUGCUAACAAACUGUAAGGCUCUGGGUACUGUAGUUGUCCACAGUGCUGAAGAUGUUAUCCCUUAGAGUCUCCUUCCUCCCGUCCUAAAUAUUCAUCCUGUCCUUUUUCCCAUCUCAGAAAACCUACAGUCAAACCAUCCAUAUCUGUAAUGUUAGUCUCCCAACUUGCCUCCAUUUGAAAACUGUCCUAAGGCCAUCUCCUCUCUCCUGUGUGUGCAAUAUAUGAGUCUUUAUUGGGUUAACAUUAAUGUGAACAUACCAUCUAGUGCCGGACUAAAUGCAAAGUUCUUGCAGUCAAGAUCCUGUCUCUUUCCAUUUUUAACAGAAUUACUUGAAAACAUGUGUUUCAAUUGCUUUAAUCAUCAGUCUUUCCUCACUGCGGUGCCAUAGAGUUUCUGUCUCUGUGUCUUCUAUCUUGGCAAACUUGAGGGUUAAUUUGCAUUUGUCACAGGCUCAUAAUGCUAUCUGAAACAAACCUCUCUCGGUGCAUAUUUCACUUUAUUAGAACCAUUUCUCUUCUCUUAAAUGUUUUGGAGCAUAAAGUCUACAUAGUAAUUUUCUCUGCAUCUGCAUAGCCUUGCACAACCCUGGUAUAUAGUAUAAGCUGAAUACAUUUUCAUUGAACAAAUUCAUAACAAAACAAAAGGGAGUCUCCCAAUUUUCUAAGGAUUACAUCCAUCGUUUCUUGGUCUUUGAACUAAGGUCAACUGCUGUAUCUGUUCCUUUUAGUUUAAUUUCUGAUAUGUCCUCUAAUAAACUGUCUAGAGUAAAAAAAGGAACUCACAGGAGGAGGUGAGGAGGAAAACUUAUAGUAAAUGUGCUGGAGGAAGAAUAUACUCAACAUGCAAUAUAUGCAUGAAAGGAAACUUUUUAAACUUUAUACUUUGCCACUAAAAUUUAUAUCUCCAAAUAUUUAAUCUGAGAGAAUAGGAAACAGAGAACACAGAAAAAUUAAAACCAUGGGAAAUGGUAUGUUAGAAUCAGGCAAAAUGGUGACAAAAACUGAUUCACAAAAUGUAAAAGGGAGAGAUAGAUAAAACUGCAAAGAUAAACCUAGAGGAGGUUGGAGGUAGUGAGACACUCUGUGACAGUUCACAUGGAGAAUGUGAUGUCAAAAUGACAAACAUUUCAGCAUUAUCCCUUCUUUAAAAGUUUAUGUCCAUGAUAAGGGGUUUAACAUGGCUCACCACCAACAAUUUCAUAAAUGACCCCCCCCCCAAGUUACAAAACUGGUUUUCAAACCCAGCCGUGAAGAUCCAUAUCUACAAUCUCCUUAGUAGGGAGCCUGAGGAAGAGGCCCACUGGGAGUCUAAAACAAGCCUGGACUACACAGUAAAGACCUGGCUAACGAAAUUUAAAAAGGGAGAACUCUAGAGCUAAGAAUGCUGCUUCUUCCUAAGCAGGGCUCUUCUUCAGGCGGACCUACAUUCCUAAAGCAAGGGGGCUGGUGGGGGAGUUAUGACUCAGUGUUUCUGCCAGAAGAAUAAUCACCCAACAGGAAAAAAAUCAGAGAGUAUUUCUUCCUUAAAAGUAAAACAAAAAACCCU